AACACAUGCAAGUCGAGGGGCAUCAUUGGAGUAGCAAUACUUCAGAUGGCGACCGGCGCACGGGUGAGUAACACGUAUCCAACCUGCCGCUUACUCGGGGAUAGCCUUUCGAAAGAAAGAUUAAUACCCGAUGGUAUAAAGAGUUCGCAUGUUCUCUUUAUUAAAGAAUUUCGGUAAGCGAUGGGGAUGCGUUCCAUUAGAUUGUUGGCGGGGUAACGGCCCACCAAGUCUACGAUGGAUAGGGGUUCUGAGAGGAAGGUCCCCCACAUUGGAACUGAGACACGGUCCAAACUCCUACGGGAGGCAGCAGUGAGGAAUAUUGGUCAAUGGGCGAGAGCCUGAACCAGCCAAGUCGCGUGAAGGAAGAAGGAUCUAUGGUUCGUAAACUUCUUUUGCAGGGGAAUAAAGUGCAGGACGUGUCCUGUUUUGUAUGUACCCUGAGAAUAAGGAUCGGCUAACUCCGUGCCAGCAGCCGCGGUAAUACGGAGGAUCCGAGCGUUAUCCGGAUUUAUUGGGUUUAAAGGGUGCGUAGGUGGUUUGAUAAGUCAGCGGUGAAAGUUUGCAGCUUAACUGUAAAAAUGCCGUUGAAACUGUCGGACUUGAGUGUAAAUGAGGUAGGCGGAAUGCGUGGUGUAGCGGUGAAAUGCAUAGAUAUCA
rnacentral:rRNA from 1 species